UACGAAGGGGGCUAGCGUUGUUCGGAAUUACUGGGCGUAAAGCGCACGUAGGCGGCUUUUUAAGUCAGGGGUGAAAUCCCGGGGCUCAACCCCGGAACUGCCCUUGAAACUGGGAAGCUAGAAUCUUGGAGAGGCGAGUGGAAUUCCGAGUGUAGAGGUGAAAUUCGUAGAUAUUCGGAAGAACACCAGUGGCGAAGGCGACUCGCUGGACAAGUAUUGACGCUGAGGUGCGAAAGCGUGGGGAGCAAACAGG
rnacentral:rRNA from 1 species